GGAGAGCCAACUGUAGUCCAGGAUCAAAAGCAACUGUUUUUCUCCUUUUUGGAGCUGCCAGAUUUCCCUUAGGGGAUAUGCGCCAGAAUGCCCUGGGACUGCCACAAAAAGAAGCUAGUCUGCCCUACUGGAGGGUGAGAGGCCACCUGGAGGACGGCCCAGAACUGCUGCCAGACGUCAGUGAGGCUUUUUGGACCUUCCAGUUCAAUUGAGCUCCAGCUGGAAGCAGCUGCUUGCAUAAGCCCAGCUCAGGUCAUGAACUCCGGGUCAAGAGAUGGAGCUCAGAGCUGGAUCCGCACUCAGCCGGGAGUCUGCUUGAGAUUCUCUCUCCCUUUCCCUCUGCCCCUCCCCCUGCUCUCACACAUGUGCACUCUCUCAAGAAAUAAAAUCUUUUAAAAAAUAAUAAUAAAUAAAAUAAAA